UUCUGUCUUGUUCUGCUUUAGUUUUCUGAUUAUGCACUUUCUUUCCUUGUAGCAGAGAGAGUUCUGUGGUAAACUGGUGAUUCCUAAGUACCUUGCGAUGAGAUACAUACGUACAGCCAGUCUGAAGAGGCUGUUUUCUUUAAAAAGACAAAGUUUUGAUAAAGAAAUAAGUAAAGGGUGUGAUUAUAUUUCAGAAGAAAAUAAGCCCACUGCUCCACCACCAACAGAAAAUCUACGAAAGCCCAAUUGGAAAUGUUUUUCCUUUGAAGAAAUCUUUGCUGCCAC
rnacentral:lncRNA from 1 species